AUGAGCCCGCCCCUCUCCCUGUCGCCCAUCAGCUGAGGAGGGUGAGACAGGUCGGGGCUGGAGGCGUCGCAUUCGUCGCUGCAUAGAUACGGGUUCUCCUGAGGAAACACAGGUGGACACACAGGUGUCCCCUGCCUUCACCGUCAGUCAGCUGGGAUAGACUCCACCCCCCAGGACCCUGACGAGGAUUAAGGUGUGUAGAUGAUGGAUGGACAGUCUGGCUGGAGUCCCCAUGGACCCCAAAUGAUUUUUCUAUACAAACACCACAAACCUGGUUGGAAUUGGAUGAGCUCUGGUUUAUGUGACGGCAGCUCUGUGGGAGACGACUACCUACAAGGACUGAAAAUCCAACUUACAGCUAAAAAAAUAUGGCAACUUAUAUGCCCCUGGAGUCCACAGAGCCCUCAGGGGUACUGAUGAGAGUUGGUUGUGUAGUUGGUUGUGUGAAGUCGUCAUGACAACCAGCUUCCUGUGAAGAGUGGGGCUAACAUGCGGAGUGACGGAUUACUGCUAAUCUGAGAGAUCCCAGAGAGAUUCAGCUGCUGCCAACUGUCACCCUGCAGACACUCCUUAGUGUGAAGCAGCUAACCAGCUCUAACCAGCUCUAACCAAUCACAGAAAGCUAGAAACUGGCUUGUGUCUUCAGCUUCACUCUGCUGCCAGACAUGUUGAUCUGGUUUUAAUGGUUUUAAUCACACUAAAGUUGUCCUGCGGCCGUGAAGCUGAAUGUUUAGUUCUGGUAGGAAACAGAACUUUAGUCCUGCUGGAGCUUCUAGAAGAUUCAUGAAGCUGCUGUGGGAUCUACCUCCCAGUUUUGCUUUCACUGUCUUCUCCUUCUUCUUCAGCAGCUGUUUGAGCUCUAAAACUUUAAUAUUAUGAUCAGAGUUUCCUCAAACGUCGAUUUGAGUGCAGAGAUCUUCAGUUUACUGUCAGAGGAACCAGGAACUAUCCACAGUGAAGGAGCUGGAAUCAGAUACUUUAGACAGUUUUUAUUGAAAGUGGCUGAUCGGGAUGGUUAGAUGUUUGAUGGAUGAUCAGGAUGGUUAGAUGUUUGAUGGAUGAUCAGGGUGGUUAGAUGUUUGAGGGAUGGUUAGAUGAUUGAUGGAUGAUCAGGAUGGUUAGAUGCUUGAGGGAUGGUUAGAUGCUUGAUGGAUUAUCAGGGUGGUUAGAUGUUUGAUGGAUGAUCAGGGUGGUUAGAUGCUUGAGGGAUGGUUAGAUGCUUGAUGGAUUAUCAGGGUGGUUAGAUGCUUGAUGGAUGAUCAGGGUGGUUACAUGUUUGGAUGAUCAGGAUGGUUAGAUGUUUGAUGGAUGAUCAGGGUGGUUAGAUGUUUGAUGGAUGAUCAGGGUGGUUAGAUGUUUGAUGGAUGAUCAGGGUGGUUAGAUGUUUGAUGGGUGAUCAGGGUGGUUAGAUGUUUGAUGGAUGAUCAGGGUGGUUAGAUGUUUGAUGGGUGAUCAGGGUGGUUAGAUGCUUGAUGGAUGAUCACGAUGGUUAGAUGUUUGAUGGGUGAUCAGGGUGGUUAGAUGCUUGAUGGAUGAUCACGAUGGUUAGAUGCUUGAGGGAUGGUUAGAUGCUUGAUGGAUUAUCAGGGUGGUUAGAUGCUUGAUGGAUGAUCAGGGUGGUUACAUGUUUGGAUGAUCAGGAUGGUUAGAUGUUUGAUGGAUGAUCAGGGUGGUUAGAUGUUUGAUGGAUGAUCAGGGUGGUUAGAUGUUUGAUGGAUGAUCAGGGUGGUUAGAUUUUUGAUGGGUGAUCAGGGUGGUUAGAUGUUUGAUGGGUGAUCAGGGUGGUUAGAUGUUUGAUGGAUGAUCAGGGUGGUUAGAUGUUUGAUGGAUGAUCAGGGUGGUUAGAUUUUUGAUGGGUGAUCAGGAUGGUUAGAUGUUUGAUGGAUGAUCAGGGUGGUUAGAUGUUUGAUGGAUGAUCAGGGUGGUUAGAUGUUUGAUGGAUGAUCAGGGUGGUUAGAUUUUUGAUGGGUGAUCAGGGUGGUUAGAUGUUUGAUGGGUGAUCAGGGUGGUUAGAUGCUUGAUGGAUGAUCACGAUGGUUAGAUGCUUGAGGGAUGGUUAGAUGCUUGAUGGAUUAUCAGGGUGGUUAGAUGUUUGGAUGAUCAGGAUGGUUAGAUGCUUGAUGGAUGAUCACGAUGGUUAGAUGCUUGAGGGAUGGUUAGAUGCUUGAUGGAUGAUCACGAUGGUUAGAUGCUUGAGGGAUGGUUAGAUGCUUGAUGGAUGAUCAGGGUGGUUACAUGUUUGGAUGAUCAGGAUGGUUAGAUGUUUGAUGGAUGAUCAGGGUGGUUAGAUGUUUGAUGGAUGAUCAGGGUGGUUAGAUGUUUGAUGGAUGAUCAGGGUGGUUAGAUUUUUGAUGGGUGAUCAGGGUGGUUAGAUAACAGAUGGCUGAUCAAGGUGGUUAGAUGUUUGAUGGAUGAUCAGGGUGGUUAGAUGUUUGAUGGAUGAUCAGGGUGGUUAGAUGUUUGAUGGGUGAUCAGGGUGGUUAGAUGUUUGAUGGAUGAUCAGGGUGGUUAGAUGUUUGAUGGAUGAUCAGGGUGGUUAGAUGUUUGAUGGGUGAUCAGGGUGGUUAGAUGUUUGAUGGAUGAUCAGGGUGGUUAGAUGCUUGAUGGAUGAUCACGAUGGUUAGAUGCUUGAGGGAUGGUUAGAUGCUUGAUGGAUGAUCAGGGUGGUUACAUGUUUGGAUGAUCAGGAUGGUUAGAUGUUUGAUGGAUGAUCAGGGUGGUUAGAUGUUUGAUGGAUGAUCAGGGUGGUUAGAUGUUUGAUGGAUGAUCAGGGUGGUUAGAUUUUUGAUGGGUGAUCAGGGUGGUUAGAUGUUUGAUGGAUGAUCAGGGUGGUUAGAUGCUUGAUGGAUGAUCACGAUGGUUAGAUGCUUGAGGGAUGAUCACGAUGGUUAGAUGCUUGAUGGAUGAUCAGGGUGGUUAGAUGUUUGAUGGAUGAUCACGAUGGUUAGAUGCUUGAUGGAUGAUCAGGGUGGUUAGAUGUUUGAUGGGUGAUCAGGGUGGUUAGAUAACAGAUGGCUGAUCAAGGUGGUUAGAUGUUUGAUGGAUGAUCAGGGUGGUUAGAUGUUUGAUGGAUGAUCAGGGUGGUUAGAUGUUUGAUGGGUGAUCAGGGUGGUUAGAUGUUUGAUGGAUGAUCAGGGUGGUUAGAUGCUUGAUGGAUGAUCACGAUGGUUAGAUGCUUGAGGGAUGGUUAGAUGCUUGAUGGAUUAUCAGGGUGGUUAGAUGUUUGGAUGAUCAGGAUGGUUAGAUGCUUGAUGGAUGAUCACGAUGGUUAGAUGCUUGAGGGAUGGUUAGAUGCUUGAUGGAUGAUCACGAUGGUUAGAUGCUUGAGGGAUGGUUAGAUGCUUGAUGGAUGAUCAGGGUGGUUACAUGUUUGGAUGAUCAGGAUGGUUAGAUGUUUGAUGGAUGAUCAGGGUGGUUAGAUGUUUGAUGGAUGAUCAGGGUGGUUAGAUGUUUGAUGGAUGAUCAGGGUGGUUAGAUUUUUGAUGGGUGAUCAGGGUGGUUAGAUGCUUGAUGGAUGAUCAGGGUGGUUAGAUGUUUGAUGGGUGAUCAGGGUGGUUAGAUAACAGAUGGCUGAUCAAGGUGGUUAGAUGUUUGAUGGAUUAUCAGGGUGGUUAGAUGUUUGAUGGAUGAUCAGGGUGGUUAGAUGUUUGAUGGGUGAUCAGGGUGGUUAGAUGUUUGAUGGAUGAUCAGGGUGGUUAGAUGCUUGAUGGAUGAUCACGAUGGUUAGAUGCUUGAUGGGUGAUCAGGGUGGUUAGAUGCUUGAUGGAUGAUCACGAUGGUUAGAUGUUUGAUGGGUGAUCAGGGUGGUUAGAUAACAGAUGGCUGAUCAAGGUGGUUAGAUGCUUGAUGGAUGAUCAGGGUGGUUAGAUGUUUGAUGGGUGAUCAGGGUGGUUAGAUGUUUGAUGGAUGAUCAGGGUGGUUAGAUGUUUGAUGGAUGAUCAGGGUGGUUAGAUGCUUGAUGGAUGAUCAGGGUGGUUAGAUGUUUGAUGGAUGAUCAGGGUGGUUAGAUGCUUGAUGGAUGAUCAGGGUGGUUAGAUGCUUGAUGGAUGAUCAGGGUGAUUAGAUAACAGAUGGAUGAUCAGGGUGGUUAGAUGCUUGAUGGAUGAUCAGGGUGAUUAGAUAACAGAUGGAUGAUCAGGGUGGUUAGAUGCUUGAUGGAUGAUCAGGAUGGUUAGUGGUUACAUGAUUGAUGGCAGCUCUAUCUCACAGCAGUGGGUGAUCAUUAACUGAAUAAUCAGGUCCCUAACAAGGGUCCCUGAGGAACUCCCACUGUGAGCUCCAUGCUGCCAUACGAAGGAACAUGAAAGAGCAACAUCAGGAGCAAAAAGUCACCUCCACUCUAGAAACAGAACAGUUUAAUUAGCUAUUGAUAGGUUGAUGGAGGACAGCUAUCCGUCCAUCUGAAGCCAAAAGAAUCCUGAGGAUCCAGGUCUUCUGCUGGAGAUCAUGGUGAACCUCCCAUCAGAUUCCUCCUCUUCUAUUUUCUUUACAGGAAGCAACCUGAUGGAACGUUCUGCUGCAGGUUUGGAUGCAGCCUACUUGGUUGUUUUGGUGAAGAUCUACAAAGAAUGUAUCCCAAGCUGCGCUGCCUAAAUGUUCUUGUGUGUUUGGUUCUGGAAGGGUUCCAGGGUGUUCAUGUUGGGCCCAAAGACCCAGGUGGAAACCAUUCGGGUAGCAGAGGAAGCUACCUGUGUUCUGGUCAGCAGAACGCUCCCAGAGCGACUGGUAGAGAUGGCUGUGGACCAAGUCCCUACGGUGAUAGAUCCAGAAUAGCACCAAACCUCCUGGUGGAUCUGGACAGCUCCACUGUUGGGCUCCGUCUGUCUCUGAUCUGGGAUGGUCUGAAGGUCUGGAGGUCUGAAGGUCAGGCGUCUUUCAUGGUUUGUGGUGUUUCCUUCUGCAGAGCACCAGGUGAAGGUCAUAUCUUGUGGAACUGAAGUUUCCUCCGUCACUAUUUCACAGACACUCAGUCAAAUGAUCCUGUUUUUAGCUCUGCCCACAACAACUGUGAUUGGUUUAACACAAAGAAGUCAGAGCUGAUGUUUCCUGAUAGGAUGAGAAUGACUGGAUUCAGUUUAAAUCACCAUGGAGACGACACAAACAUUCAGCAGCUUCCUGUUGUUGGUGGUGGUCUGUUGUUGGUCUGUUGUUGUAUUGUUGGUGUGUUGUUGGUCUGUUUUUCUGUUGUUGGUCUGUUGUGUUGAUGGUCGAUUGUUGUGUUGUUGGUCUGUUGCUGGUCUGUUGUGUUGAUGGUCGAUUGUUGUGUUGGUCUGUUGUUGUUGUGUUGUUGGUCUAUUGUUGUGUUGUUGGUCUGUUGUGUUGUUGGUCUGUUUUUGUGUUGAUGGUCUGUUGUUGUGUUGAUGGUCUGUUGUUGUGUUGAUGGCGUGUUUUUGUGUUGUUGGUCUGUUGUGUUGUUGGUCUGUUGUUGUGUUGUUGGUCUGUUGUGUUGUUGGUCUGUUUUGUGUUGAUGGUCUGUUGUUGUGUUGAUGGUCUGUUGUUGUGUUGAUGGCGUGUUUUUGUGUUGUUGGUCUGUUGUGUUGAUGGUCUGUUGUUGUGUUGUUGGUCUGUUGUGUUGUUGGUCUGUUGUGUUGUUGGUCUGUUGUAUUGAUGGUCUGUUGUGUUGUUGGUCUGUUGUUGUGUUGAUGGUCUGCUGUCUUGUUGGUCUGUUGUUGUGUUGUUGGUCUGUUGUUGUGUUGUUGGUCUGUUGUUGUGUUGUUUGCCUGUUGUUGUGCUGAUGGUCUGUUGUUGUGUUGUUGGUCUGUUGUUGUGUUGAUGGUCUGUUGUGUUGUUGGUCUGUUGUUGUGUUGUUGGUCUGUUGUUGUGUUGAUGGUCUGUUGUUGUGUUGAUGGUCUGUCACCAUGGCGAUGACACAAACAUUAAACAGCUUCCUGUUGUUGUUGGUGGUUUGUUGUUGUAUUGUUGGUAUGUUGUUGGUCUGUUGUUGUGUUGUUGGUCUGUUGUGGUGAUGGUCGAUUGUUGUAUUGUUGGUCUGUUGCUGGUCUGUUGUGUUUAUGGCCAAUUGUUGUGUUGUUGGUCUGUUGUUGUGUUGUUGUGCUGUUGUUGUGUUGUGUUGUUGUGUUGUUGUGUUGAUGUGUUGAUGUGUUGAUGUCUGUUGUGUUGAUGGUCUGUUGUUGCGUUGAUGGUCUGUUGUUGUGUUGUUGGUCUGUUGUUGGUCUGUUGUGUUGAUGGUCUGUUGUUGUGUUGUUGUGUUGAUGGUCUGUUGUUGUGUUGUUGAUCUGUUGUGGUGUUGUUUUGAUGGUCUGGGGGGUAUUCCACGAAGCUGGCUUAGGUCUAAGCCUGGCUUAUUUCGGUCAGCUUCGCUAACUUUAGUGAGAGUUUAGUUCCACCAACAAGGCUUAGGGCUAGCCUGGCUUGGUAACCAUGGUAACUCAGCCAGAGCGACAAGCCUGGUCCGGGGCAGGCUAACAGUCAAGCUUACUUUAGCCCCAUGUCAGAGAAGGUUCUGACGAGCUUCAGAAAGACGCCUGUGAACCGCAUGUUACACAUUAAAUUCAUCUUGAUCUGUAAUCAAUGAUGUUCUUGUUCGGUGACAUACAUUGAGACCUUUUUUAAAAAAAUUUUUUUAAAUAAUGCCAGAAUAACCGUGAAUCAAACUAUAUCAUAUUACACUACACAUUUUGUCACAGUGUGUAACUGUGGCUCAGUGGUUAGAGCGUAGUUAAGUAGAUUAAAUGUGGUUUUACUUUUCAUUGUGCCGUGGUUUGAAUCCAUCAGCGGUAAAUACUUGGAAAUAUCUGAUUUUCUUUCUUCUUUCACCCUCAAAGUUCAGUCAACACGUAACAGGAACAGGCACAGAUUGUGUUAAAAUAAGCAGGACACAACAGCACAGUUUUCCAUAAAGAAUACCUUCCUUUUACCAGCGGUCCAAUCUGAUCAUGAUGAUGAUCCAAAGGUGAGGCCAAAUGAUGAGAGAACUAUUUAGUGUACAGCUCAUUUGUGUCUUCUCCCUUAUUUAAAUGUAGGGCACAGUAGCACUAUCAUCUCUAAUAAAAAUGACAUCUCCUCUGUAGGCCUACAUGUUUUUUUCUGCUUUUUCAUUCAAAGUUUGAGUGUUUGAUGAAACAUCUCCACAUGAAGUUGCCCCUUUUUUCCAAAGUAUUCCUCCUUUGGUUUUAGGUGUUACCUGCUGCUUUAUUCAUCUAUGGUGGAUAUAUAUUUGUCACAUCAAGAACAUGGAUUACGCCUACCAGAGUAAAAAGUGAAAACCACCAUCACAUUACACAAAACCAGGCUGUAGCCUCUUUCUCUCAUAUAUAUAUAUGUUUAUACACACAUAAAAAAUGUCUUCAGUGGGUUUUGAAAAGCUUUAUUUCAUCAGAUUGAUCUCCUCUGGGCCACAGUAGUGUGACAAACUUCAGGGUGAGGAAAAAAAAGUCAUCAACCACUGCAGCUGUGGGUUAUCCCUAAUCAGUGUCAAAAACUUGCCCUCUGAAAAUUAAAUAUUCAGACGUGUGCGUGUACGCUCAGACUAAGGGAUUCAUUAAAAAGAAAAUAAACACUUACGCAUUUAAACGGUCGGCAAUGCUUUGCCAGGCAGCGUCUCCAGCUUUAUUUAUCAACCGUGUUGCCUUUUCUUGUGAUAAUCUCCCUGUAGUCCUCGUACAGCUCCAAAGAGAAAGUGUCCGCUCUGUUUUUAGACAUAAUAUCAUCAUUUCGACGAUCGACACGUCGGGGCUUUUUAUCUCCCCGGACGCGCGCUCAGCCGCAGCUUGGAUCAGCCUGGCUUGAAUAAGCGUCUCUGAAAAACAGCUGAGCCUCGUUCGUGGAACUACUUGCAGCUGAGAUUAAAGUUGCCGCUUGUUCAAGCCACGCUUACCGGCGUAAGCCCAGCCUGUUUUAGCCAGCUUCAUGGAAUACCCCCUGUUGUGUCGUUGUGUUGUUGGUCUGUUGUUGUGUUGAUGGUCUGUUGUUGUGUUGAUGGUCUGUCACCAUGGAGAUGACGCAAACAUUAAGCAGCUUCCUGUUGUUGUUGGUGGUCUGUUGUUGAUCUGUUGUUGUAUUGUUGGUAUGUUCUUGGUCUGUUGUGUUGAUGGUCGAUUGUUGUGUUGUUGGUCUGUUGCUGGUCUGUUGUGUUGAUGGUCGAUUGUUGUGUUCUUGGUCUGUUGUGUUGAUGGUCUGUUGUUGUGUUGAUGGUCUGUUGUGUUGAUGGUCUGUUUUUGUAUUGUUGGUCUGUUGUGUUGAUGGUUUGUUGUUGGGCUGUUGAUGGUCUGUUGUUGUGUUGUUGGUCUGUUGUGUUGAUGGUCUGUUGUCGUGUUGAUGGUCUGUUUUGUAUUGUUGGUAUGUUGUUGGUCUGUUGUUGUGUUGUUGGUCUGUUCUUGGUCUGUUGUGUUGAUGGUCAAUUGUUGUGUUGCUGGUCUGUUGUGUUGAUGGUCGAUUGUUGUGUUGUUGGUCUGUUGUGUUGAUGGUCUGUUGUUGUGUUGUUGGGCUGUUGAUGGUCUGUUGUUGUGUUGUUGGUCUGUUGUGUUGAUGGUCUGUUGUUGUGUUGUUGGUCUGUUGUGUUGAUGGUCUGUUGUUGUGUUGUUGGUCUGUUGUGUUGUUGGUCUGUUGUGUUGAUGGUCUGUUGUUGUGUUGUUGGUUUGUUGUUGGGCUGUUGAUGGUCUGUUGUUGUGUUGUUGGGCUGUUGAUGGUCUGUUGUUGUGUUGUUGGUCUGUUGUGUUGAUGGUCUGUUGUGUUGAUGGUCUGUUUUUGUAUUGUUGGUCUGUUGUUGUGUUGAUGGUUUGUUGUUGUGUUGAUGGUCUGUUGUUGUGUUGUUGGUCUGUUGAUGGUCUGUUGUUGUGUUGUUGUUUUGAUGGUCUGUUGUUGUGUUUUUGUUGUUGUGUUGUGUUGAUGGUCUGUUGUUGGUGUUUAGUUGUGUUGAUGGUCUGUUGUUGUGUUGUUGGUGUUUAGUUGUGUUGUUGUGUUGAUGGUCUGUUGUUGUGUUGAUGGUGUGUUGUUGUGUUGUGUUGUUGGUUGGUUGGACUGCAUUAGUUCUGUGUAGACUCACAUGUCAACUUGUAGUUUUUGCUUCGUUCCAUUCAUCAAUAAUUCAGGUUCCCAAUGGACCAAUUAUAUGCAGCAGAACUGUGUGGUGUCCAACCUGUGGCUCAGGGCCCUGCAGGAGGUCACUGACAGCAGGUCUUCUUCUUUUUACUGACAGACAAAAAUACAUUCCAGCUCCAAGUCUGAAUACAUUUAAUCAGCUGUCAGAUUAUUUUCAGUUUAUGAAAUGCACUUUAUUUCAACUGAAACUCAUUAAAGCAUCUGUAAGAUAUGUUUGCUCAUGAAUUAAAAUCUAAACUAAAAUUCCUCCUUCAGGAAGAAUGAGAGGCUGAAGUCAGGAGUUUAGUCAGUCAUUGUUUCCCCAGCAGCCUGAAGACGUUCAUGAAGGACAUGCUUCAGCUUUUAUUUUGAAAAAAAUACUUUAACUUUGACAAAAAUCACAGUUUUGUACAUUUAAAAUGAAACCUUAAGAGUUCAGCUGUGUGGCCAGGCUUGUCUAGAUGUGUCUAGGUGUGUUCAGGUGCGUUCAGGUGUGUUCAGGUGUGUCUCGGUGUGUUCAGGUGUGUUCAGGUGUGUCCAGGCUUGUCUAGAUGUGUCCAAGUGUGUUCAGGUGUGUUCAGGUUCGUUCAGGUGUGUUCAGGCUUGUCUAGAUGUGUCCAGGUGUAUCUGGGUGUGUUCAGGUGUGUUCAGGUGCAUUCAUUUGUAUUCAGGUGUGUCCCGGCAUGUCUAGAUGUGUUCAGGUGCGUUCAGGUGUGUCCAGGCUUGUCUAGGUGUGUUCAGGUGUGUCUAGAUGGGUUCAGGUGUGUUUAGGUGUGUUCAGGUGUGUCUUGAUCUUUCCAAGUGUUUUCAGGUGUGUCUUAGUGUGUCCAGGUGUGUCCAGGUGUGUUCAGGUGUGUCUAGAUGUUUCCAGGUGUGUUCAGGUGUGUCCAGGCUUGUCUAGGUGUGUUCAGGUGUUUUCAUUUGUGUCCAGGUGUGUUCAGAUAUGUUUAGGUGUGUCUAGGUGUGUCUAGGUGUGUUCAGGUGUGUCCAGGUGUGUUCAGGUGUGUCUAGGUGUGUUCAGGUGUGUCUUGGUGUGUCCAAGUGUGUCCAAGUGUGUUCAGGUGUGUCCAGGUGUGUUCAGGUGUGUCAAGGUGUGUUCAGGUGUGUCUAGGUGUGUCCAAGUGUGUUCAGGUGUGUCCAGGUGUGUUCAGGUGUGUCUAGGUGUGUUCAGGUGUGUCUAGGUGUGUCCAAGUGUGUCUAGGUGUGUUCAGGUGUGUUCAGGUGUGUCCAAGUGUGUUCAGGUGUGUCAAGGUGUGUUCAGGUGUGUCUAGGUGUUUAUCUGUGUCUCAGACUGACCAGUGUGCAGAAUCUCUCAGGUGGGUUUCCACAGGUGAUCCCAGGGGGGUCCACUCUGAUCUGCAUCCCCUCCUUCAUGUUGGUGUGUGG